UGGGGAAUAUUGGACAAUGGGCGCAAGCCUGAUCCAGCCAUGCCGCGUGAGUGACGAAGGUCUUCGGAUUGUAAAGCUCUUUUAGCAGGGAAGAUAAUGACGGUACCUGCAGAAUAAGCACCGGCUAACUACGUGCCAGCAGCCGCGGUAAUACGUAGGGUGCGAGCGUUAAUCGGAAUUACUUGGCGUAAAGCGUGCGCAGGCGGUUAUAUAAGUCAGUGGUGAAAGCCCAUCGCUCAACGGUGGAACGGCCAUUGAUACUGUCUGACUUGAAUUAUUAGGAAGUAACUAGAAUAUGUAGUGUAGCGGUGAAAUGCAUAGAUAUUAUCCAGAACACCAAUUGCGUAGGCAAGUUACUAAGUCAUAACUGACGCUGAGGCACGAAAGUGUGGGUAUCAAACAGGAUUAGAUACCCCCGUAGUCCCUGAGCGGGCUGGCAAGGCGCAU
rnacentral:rRNA from 1 species